rnacentral:rRNA from 1 species
GUGAGGAAUAUUGGUCAAUGGGCGCGAGCCUGAACCAGCCAAGUAGCGUGAAGGAUGAAGGUCCUAUGGAUUGUAAACUUCUUUUAUAAGGGAAUAAAGUGAGGGACGUGUCCCUUUUUGUAUGUACCUUAUGAAUAAGGAUCGGCUAACUCCGUGCCAGCAGCCGCGGUAAUACGGAGGAUCCAAGCGUUAUCCGGAUUUAUUGGGUUUAAAGGGAGCGUAGGUUGACAUAUAAGUCAGCUGUGAAAGUUUACGGCUCAACCGUGAAAUUGCAGUUGAUACUGUAUGUCUUGAGUGUACAAGAGGUGGGCGGAAUUCGUGGUGUAGCGGUGAAAUGCUUAGAUAUCACGAAGAACUCCAAUUGCGAAGGCAGCUCACUGGGGUACAACUGACACUGAGGCUCGAAAGUGUGGGUAUCAAACAGGAUUAGAUACCCUAGUAGUCC